GUUUCCACUUUUCACAGCUGCAGCUGGAUGCCCCAGGAGCGUCAAUGAAAGCCCUACGAGGCAGACAAUCGCCAGAAGGACGACUAGCCGUUGCGUUCGCAUCCCGGUGCGGACAUGUAUAACGCAGAAGGCAGCAGCAUUCAGUUGGAUAGCAAUGGCAUUUUUGAGAAGGCAGGCCAAUGGGCAGAGAAUGACGGGUGAUGCUGCCUGUGAACGGGAGCGCGCGAGAGGAUUGAUUCCAAGAUUAAUGCUAGCUUGCGCGACGAAGAGAUGAUACUUUUUUCUGCGUUUUUUUUCGCGGAGGUGCCAGAGG
rnacentral:sRNA from 1 species